rfam:Pongo abelii chromosome 6.
UAAAAGGCCCUUUUCAGGGCCACCCUAUUUUCUCAGCUGAGGAGUGG